rnacentral:rRNA from 1 species
GAUGAACGGGCGGCGUGCCUAAUACAUGCAAGUCGAGCGAACAGACGAGGAGCUUGCUCCUCUGACGUUAGCGGCGGACGGGUGAGUAACACGUGGAUAACCUACCUAUAAGACUGGGAUAACUUCGGGAAACCGGAGCUAAUACCGGAUAAUAUAUUGAACCGCAUGGUUCAAUAGUGAAAGACGGUUUUGCUGUCACUUAUAGAUGGAUCCGCGCCGCAUUAGCUAGUUGGUAAGGUAACGGCUUACCAAGGCGACGAUGCGUAGCCGACCUGAGAGGGUGAUCGGCCACACUGGAACUGAGACACGGUCCAGACUCCUACGGGAGGCAGCAGUAGGGAAUCUUCCGCAAAGGGCGAAAGCUUGACGGAGCAACGCCGCGUGAGUGAUGAAGGUCUUCGGAUCGUAAAACUCUGUUAUUAGGGAAGAACAAAUGUGUAAGUAACUAUGCACGUCUUGACGGUACCUAAUCAGAAAGCCACGGCUAACUACGUG